rnacentral:rRNA from 1 species
AUACGGAGGGUGCAAGCGUUACUCGGAAUCACUGGGCGUAAAGCGCGCGCAGGCGGUCUUUUAAGUUGGAUGUGAAAGCCUACGGCUCAACCGUAGAACUGCAUCCAAAACUAUUAGACUAGAGUGUGGGAGAGGAAGAUGGAAUUAGUUGUGUAGGGGUAAAAUCCGUAGAGAUAACUAGGAAUACCAAAAGCGAAGGCAAUCUUCUGGAACACUACUGACGCUGAGGCGCGAAAGCGUGGGGAGCAAACAGAAUUAGAAACCCCAGUAGUCC